UCGACUUUGAUCGUUAUGGAUUAGUACCAAGAUAUAGUAGAAUAAGUCAUUAGUAUUAAUACUAAAAAUAAUAAACCCACGAAGGGCACAAUCCCACUCCCUCUCCCGCCAGUACAGCCCUUUCGCUUUUCCAUUCUCUCUCUCUUACAAAACCCAAAAAGGAAACAGAAAAUAUUAAAAAGAAAGAAAAAGAAAAUAUUAAAAAGAAAGAAAAGAAAAUGGAUAUUCCGGUGAUAGAUCUAACACGAUACCUAGAAAUCGCUGAUAAGCUAAGCGGCGAGCCGGUCAAACUAUGUGGUGAAGUUGAAGAAUUGUGUAAGGAAGUGAGUCGGAUCCUGAGAGAAACCGGAGCUUUGGUAGUGAAGGAUCCGAGAUGCUCUUCUGAGGAUAAUGAUCGGUUUAUUGAUAUGAUGGAGAAGUACUUUGAAUCUCCUCUUCAGUUUAAGAAGCUUCAAGAAAGACCUCACUUGCAUUAUCAGGUUGGAGUGACCCCUGAAGGAGUAGAAGUUCCAAGAAGCCUGGUUGAUGAAGAAAUGCAAGAGAAAUUAAAAGCAAUGCCCAAACAGUUCCAACCAUCCACUCCGAAAGGACCUGAUCGCAAGUGGCGAUACAUGUGGAGAGUAGGUUCUCGGCCAUCGAACACCCGAUUUAAGGAACUUAAUUCGGAACCUGUAGUACCUGAGGGUUUCCCAGAAUGGAAAGAAACCAUGGACUCAUGGGGACACAAAAUGAUAUCUGCAAUAGAGGCGGUAGCUGAAAUGGCAGCAAUUGGUUUUGGUCUGCCCAAGGAUGCAUUUACUUCGCUGAUGAAACAGGGGCCGCAUCUUCUUGCACCAACAGGGAGUGACCUCCGCUGCUAUGGCGAAGAAGGCACUGUGUUUGCUGGCUAUCAUUAUGACCUUAAUUUUUUAACAAUUCAUGGCAGAAGUAGAUUCCCCGGUCUUAACAUUUGGCUAAGGAAUGGACAGAAAGUAGAAGUAAAGGUUCCUCUUGGAUGUCUCCUCAUUCAGACAGGGAAGCAGAUAGAGUGGUUAACUGCAGGUGAUUGCAUAGCUGGCAUGCAUGAAGUUGUUGUCACAAAGAGAACAACUGAUGCAAUCAAACUAGCAUCCGAACAAAACCUCAGCCUAUGGAGAGUUUCCUCAACACUUUUUGCACACAUAGCGUCAGAUGCUGUUUUGCAGCCUUUAGGCCACUUUGCAGAAUCCCCACUUGCCAGCAAAUAUCCUCCUAUUUGUGCAGGAGAAUUUGUUGAACAAGAACUUGCUGUUAUCAAUCUAAAAGGAAAUAAAGGGGAAUCCUGAUAACUCUGGCUUGUAACCCCUACUCCUCUCGGUGAAGCCUGCUACUAAACUCGAAUGGGUCAAGUGAGCAUUGGGCUUCAAAAUUGGAUCUUUAGGGCUAUGGAUGAUUCAGUUGGUCCUUCUCAAAACAAUAUUUGCUUCAACAUCAAUUGUAGACAGAAUAUUUGCUUCAGUUUCUUCUUCGCUAAAUGAAAUCGCAAACAAUGCUUCGUUGAAGAAACAAUCUUGUGACGACAGUAAGAAGGAUUAACAUUGAUUUCGGUGAAACAGUGUUUCCUACGGCGUCGUUUCUUGGGUGAUGGAGCAGUUGGAUCUCUGUAGAAUUGGGAUUUAAGGGUUGUUCGGAGUAAUUAUCUCCUUAAGAGUCAAAAACAGGGGAUUGUUGGUAAUAUGGGUUUUUGGUUGAGUUGGGGAGAGAGUGAGAUCGAUUUCCGAUGAGGAUUACUCGGAGAUGACGUUGUUAGGUGUGUCUGGAGGAGGCUCUGCCAUUUCAUUUUCCAUUUUUCUGGAUUACAUUCAGAGUUUAAGUGUAAUAAAAGUGCUGUUAUGGCAGCUGCCUUGGAGAGGAGGAGAGGACCUUUGGGAUAUUUUUGAAGCUGGUUUUAUUGAUCAAGCUCAGUUUAAUCAUUUCUUUAAAUUUA